ACAAUAUAUUCUGAUGAUCAUAUAUUUGUUUGAAAACAUAUGAAGAUCUGGCCCGUGCAACUCUGCUAGUUGUCUCAAAAACGAUUAUACAAAACGCGAGCAACAUAUUCACUCACCGACCGAACCCUUUCGUCGCCUCGCCUCUCUCCCUCCACCGAAAUUUACCCACCCAUCCAAUUCCUGAACAAACAAUCACUGCACCCCACGCCGCUCUCGCACUCGCCUCGUUUACACCCUCGCCACCUGCCCCGGACUCUCCGUCGUAACCCUCCAGUCCUCCUCUGCCUAUUUAAGCAGCAAGCUACACCACACCGCGCAAGUGCACCAGUAACAACGAUCUCACAACGCGCAAAACACAAGAGAGAGCGAGUAGAACUGAUAUUUGUGGUUGGGUAGCUAGAGAGCGGCCGCCAUGGCCAGAAAGUGCUCUCGCACUACAGCCUCCCUUGUCCUGCUUUGCCUUGCGCUGGUGGCACACGCAAUGGCAGCUGCAGCUGGCGUCGUUGCGGAGGCCUCGCUUCCGGCCGUCGCAGAGAGCGGCGCUGGUGCAGGAGGGGUGGCGGACGCGAAGAACCUGUN
rnacentral:lncRNA from 1 species